AAUAUGUUACAUGAAUAAUGGUGUCAUCAAGAAUCAUUAAACAGUCAUUAUGCUGAAACAUGACACUCAGCAAGGGGAUCCAAACCGUUUACAGUUUGAACCAAUCAUAAUGUUUAUGUGGUGUAAAUGUUUAUAAGGCUGUCGUAUUGAUGGGCAAAACUACUUUCCUGACGACAUACCACACGGUCCUUAUUCAACAUGAAGCUGUUUCUUCUGGUGGUUCUAGUUUUUUCAGUGGUUCAGCUGAGUGCUGGGCCUGGGAUUAUGGAUGCGUGGGUCAAAAUUCCUUAUGGAGAGUACGACAGUCAAAUAUCACUGAAUCAAAGUAUGUC